UACCAGCACCCCGAGUGGUCGGGACGAUUAUUGGGCCUAAAGCAUCCGUAGCCGGUCCUACAAGUCUUCCGUUAAAUCCAGCUGCUCAACAGAUGGGCUGCGGAAGAUACUAUAGGGCUAGGAGGCGGGAGAGGCAAGCGGUACUCAGUGGGUAGGGGUAAAAUCCUCUGAUCCAUUGAAGACCACCAGUGGCGAAGGCGGCUUGCCAGAACGCGCUCGACGGUGAGGGAUGAAAGCUGGGGGGAGCAAACCGG
rnacentral:rRNA from 1 species